GACUCAUGCAAAUAUGACUUGUUGCACAAUGCUCAUCUUAAUCUAGAAGGUCUUGAUGAACUAUUCAAAGUUGCUCAGCUACUUGCAGAUGGUGUCAUACCAAAUGAGUAUGGGAUUAAUCCAAAGCAGCAGAAAUUGAAAAUUGGCUCCAAGAUUGCUCGCCGUUUGUUGGGUAAAAUCUUGAUUGAUCUGAGGAACACUCGGGAGGAAGCCAUUAGUGUUGCAGAGUUAAAGAGCAAUCAGGACCAACAUUCAACAUCAGCAAAGAGUGAGGAGGAUGCAGAUUAUCAAUCAAAGUUUUUCAUUAAGAAUGAAGACACGAGAAGAACUAGCACAAGUGAAAUAUCAAUAGAUCAGGAUGAUGACNUAAAGAGACAAAAUACCGUUUGGAUCCAAAGUAUGCAAAUGUCAAAACACCUGAACGCCACGUCCGGACGCGUCUUUAUUUUACUUCAGAAUCUCAUAUCCAUUCCCUUGUCAAUGUUCUCCGUUACUGUAACUUGGAUGAGUCUCUGCAAGGAGAGGAUAGUCUUGUUUGCCAUAGUGCCUUGGAGCGCCUGCACAAUACCAAGGAGCUUGACUACAUGAGUUACAUUGUGCUGAGGAUGUUCGAGAACACUGAGGUUGCUUUGGAAGACCCGAAAAGGUUCCGCAUAGAGAUGACAUACAGCCGUGGUGCUGACUUAUCCCCCUUGGAGAAAAAUGAUAGUGAGGCUACCACUUUGCAUCAGGAGCAUACACUGCCUAUAAUGGGUCCAGAAAGGCUGCAAGAAGUGGGAUCGUAUCUCACAUUAGAGAAAAUGGAGAAGAUGAUUCGCCCAUUUGCCAUGCCGGCAGAAGACUUUCCUCCACCUGCAACUCCCGCAGGAUUCUCCGGCUGCAGUACUAGAGCGCUUGGUGAAUCUUUGGCGUUUCCAUAAACAUGAUAAGCAUUCUAGUGCUAAUGGAAAGUAAUUCUU
rnacentral:misc_RNA from 1 species